UGCGCAGGCGGUUAUGUAAGACAGAGGUGAAAGUCCCCGGGCUCAACCUGGGAACGGCCUUUGUGACUGCAUGGCUAGAGUACGGUAGAGGGGGAUGGAAUUCCGCGUGUAGCAGUGAAAUGCGUAGAUAUGCGGAGGAACACCGAUGGCGAAGGCAAUCCCCUGGACCUGUACUGACGCUCAUGCACGAAAGCGUGGGGAGCAAACAGGAUUAGAUACCCUGGUAGUCCACGCCCUAAACGAUGUCAACUGGUUGUUGGGUCUUAACCUGACUCAGUAACGAAGCUAACGCGUGAAGUUGACCGGCCUGGGGAGUACGGCCGACAAGGUUGAA
rnacentral:rRNA from 1 species